rnacentral:rRNA from 1 species
AUGGUGCCUUUCUUUGGGUCUGCAUUUCGUCUACUACUUCUCCCACCCAGCAGGUGUGCUUGGUCUGCAGUGACGACCUUUGGGCCAACAACACAUGGACAUUUCACAGAUAAACUAUUGCAUCAGAAAUUUGCUUGGCGAAGAUCUGGGACACUCGGGUACAUUAGACCCACGAGGCAACGCGACGGAGGCCAUGCACUCAAGUGGGAGGCGGAGCUCGCCUCCCCCAAUGACGACGGCUUCGACCUCAAGUGGAAGUGGGAGGCCAAGUCCAAGCCAUGCGCUGCCGGCAAGGUCGAAACCAAGUGGGGCGCCGAGGAAGCCAACAAGGAUGACAAUAAUCCGGCAAGAAAGUGCGUCCAGAUCAAGGAGAUCUCCACCGGCUGCGACGUCCAAAUAGAGGUACUCGACAGAAAUUUGAAAUUGUUGUGA